AUACGGGGGGUGCAAGCGUUAUUCGGAUUCACUGGGCGUAAAGGGCGCGUAGGCGGCCUUGUAAGUCAAGUGUGAAAGCCCGGGGCUCAACCCCGGAAGUGCACUUGAAACUAGAAGGCUUGAGUAUGGGAGAGGGAAGUGGAAUUCCUGGUGUAGAGGUGAAAUUCGUAGAUAUCAGGAGGAACACCGGUGGCGAAGGCGACUUCCUGGACCAAUACUGACGCUGAGGCGCGAAGGCGUGGGGAGCAAACAGGAUUAGAUACCCUGGUAGUCCACGCAGUAAACGUUGAUCACUAGGUGUAGCGGGUAUUGACCCCUGCUGUGCCGAAGUUAACGCAUUAAGUGAUCCGCCUGGGGAGUACGGCCGCAAGGUUAAA
rnacentral:rRNA from 1 species